UGAUCGUGAGGCGAUGGAUCUCCGCCGGGGUAUUGCACCCGAACCGCCAACCGGCUGAUGGCUCCUUCGACGUC
rnacentral:ncRNA from 1 species